UACGUAGGGUGCGAGCGUUAAUCGGAAUUACUGGGCGUAAAGCGUGCGCAGGCGGUUCUCCAAGGCCGUUGUGAAAGCCCCGGGCUCAACCUGGGAAUGGCAGUGGAAACUGCAGAGCUUGAGUCCUGGAGAGGAAGGCGGAAUUCUCGGUGUAGAGGUGAAAUUCGUAGAUAUCGAGAGGAACACCGGUGGCGAAGGCGGCCUUCUGGACAGUGACUGACGCUGAGACGCGAAAGCGUGGGGAGCAAACAGG
rnacentral:rRNA from 1 species